GAGAUUAGGGGCCUCCGGCCCCGAACCCUCCCACCCGUGCUUACCGACCUUUUGUUGCUUUGGCGGGCUGGUGGCCGGGUUGAAUCCCGGCCGCCGCUGCGUGCCCGCCGAAAGCCCACCCAAACUCGUUUACCGGUGACGUCUGAGGAACCAAACAAACAAUCAAAACUUUCAACAACGGAUCUCUUGGUUCU
rnacentral:misc_RNA from 1 species